rnacentral:misc_RNA from 1 species
CCAAAUUUUUGGGAUAAAGGUUUAAUUGAGUUGAGUUGAUUAUUAUUAUAGAAGUUAAAUAUAAUAAUGAAAUUAUAUUUUUAAGUUCUGAUACAAUAUGAAGAAAAUAAAUUGAGUUUAAUUUCACCUCAAAAGUUAGUUAAAAGAAAUAACAUUUACCCAAAUAUUAUAUAUAGCUCAAAUACAGUUAUUCAAAAUUAAUGUGUGACAACAAAUAUAGCAUAAUCCUCUCCAUUAACUUACAAUCGAUAUCUAUAGUAAAAAGUUUAGUAUAAAGCACUAACAUUAUUAAAAAGUUUAGUAUAAAGCACUAACAUUAUAUAACAUCAAAGUAAAUAAAUAGGCAAUAUGAAAAUAACGUACAUGUUGUUGUAGAGUACUCGUUGCUAGUGAAAUCAACGCGCAUAACAUAUAUAUAAUUUAUAUAUUAUAUGAAAUGAUGCAUUGGAAUGCAUGUAAAAAUUAAGGAGGUAGAGAUAUAGAGUACCCAAGUAGGAUUGAUGAUUGGAGCAGGGGCUGCAAAAACAGGCUGGUUUCUGAUAAGGGUAGGGAUGGAAGAAGAAGAAACAGGAGAAGGGUUGAGGCUUGCAAAGAUAGAGGGACGUAAUGUGGCUUUCUGGAGAGAAGAUUGAGAAGGAGAGAGGGAGGUGAGACACCAGCCGUUAAUCGAAGACGUCGACAUUGUGCAAGGUACCCUAGAGCUGAGUGGGUUU